UACGAAGGGGACUAGCGUUGUUCGGAAUCACUGGGCGUAAAGCGCACGUAGGCGGAUCCUUAAGUCGGGGGGUGAAAUCCUGGAGCUCAACUCCAGAACUGCCUUCGAUACUGAGGAUCUCGAGUCCGGGAGAGGUGAGUGGAACUGCGAGUGUAGAGGUGAAAUUCGUAGAUAUUCGCAAGAACACCAGUGGCGAAGGCGGUUCUCUGGAACGCAACUGACGCUGAGACGCGAAAGCGUGGGGAGCAAACAGG
rnacentral:rRNA from 1 species